rnacentral:rRNA from 1 species
UGCAGUCGAGCGAAUCUUGAGGUGCUUGCACCUCUUGGUUAGCGGCGGACGGGUGAGUAACACGUGGGCAACCUGCCUGUAAGACUGGGAUAACACCGGGAAACCGGUGCUAAUACCGGAUAAUUCUUUUCCUCUCAUGAGGAAAAGCUGAAAGACGGUUUCGGCUGACACUUACAGAUGGGCCCGCGGCGCAUUAGCUAGUUGGUGAGGUAACGGCUCACCAAGGCGACGAUGCGUAGCCGACCUGAGAGGGUGAUCGGCCACACUGGGACUGAGACACGGCCCAGACUCCUACGGGAGGCAGCAGUAGGGAAUCUUCCGCAAUGGACGAAAGUCUGACGGAGCAACGCCGCGUGAGCGAUGAAGGCCUUCGGGUCGUAAAGCUCUGUUGUUAGGGAAGAACAAGUACCGGAGUAACUGCCGGUACCUUGACGGUACCUAACCAGAAAGCCACGGCUAACUACGUGCCAGCAGCCGCGGUAAUACGUAGGUGGCAAGCGUUGUCCGGAAUUAUUGGGCGUAAAGCGCGCGCAGGCGGUUCUUUAAGUCUGAUGUGAAAGCCCACGGCUCAACCGUGGAGGGUCAUUGGAAACUGGGGAACUUGAGUACAGAAGAGGAAAGCGGAAUUCCACGUGUAGCGGUGAAAUGCGUAGAGAUGUGGAGGAACACCAGUGGCGAAGGCGGCUUUCUGGUCUGUAACUGACGCUGAGGCGCGAAAGCGUGGGGAGCAAACAGGAUUAGAUACCCUGGUAGUCCACGCCGUAAACGAUGAGUGCUAAGUGUUAGGGGGGUUUCCGCCCCUUAGUGCUGCAGCUAACGCAUUAAGCACUCCGCCUGGGGGAGUACGGGCCGCAAGGCUGAAACUCAAAAGGAAUUGACGGGGGGCCCGCACAAACCGGUGGAACCAUGUGGGUUUAAUUCGAAACAACCCGGAAAAACCUUACCAGGGCUUGGCAUCCUCUUGC